rnacentral:rRNA from 1 species
AUUGAACGCUGGCGGAAUGCUUUACACAUGCAAGUCGAACGGUAGAGGGGGCAACCCCUCGAGAGUGGCGAACGGGUGAGUAAUAUAUCGGAACGUGCCCAGUCGUGGGGGAUAACGUAGCGAAAGUUACGCUAAUACCGCAUACGAUCUAAGGAUGAAAGCGGGGGAUCGCAAGACCUCGCGCGAUUGGGGUGGCCGCUAUCAGAUUAGGUAGUUGGUGGGGUAAAGGCUCACCAAGCCAACGAUCUGUAGCUGGUCUGAGAGGACGACCAGCCACACUGGAACUGAGACACGGUCCAGACUCCUACGGGAGGCAGCAGUGGGGAAUUUUGGACAAUGGACGCAAGUCUGAUCCAGCCAUUCCGCGUGCAGGAUGAAGGCCCUCGGGUUGUAAACUGCUUUUGUACGGAACGAAAAGGUCUCUCUUAAUACGGGGGGCUCAUGACGGUACCGUAAGAAUAAGCACCGGCUAACUACGUGCCAGCCGCCGCGGUAA